rnacentral:tRNA from 1 species
GCGGGUGUGGCGUAAUUGGUAGCCGCGCCAGACUUAGGAUCUGGUGUUUCGCGACGUGUAGGUUCGAGUCCUAUCCCCCGCA